UAACAGAGUUGAACUCCAAAAUCCAGGAAAAAAAGUGAAGAAAAGGAAUCAGAGAAUGGAGUUUGGCCAGCAACUACAGGAAAUGAUGGAGAAAAAUAAGACUCUCUGGGAAUUCCAUAAGACAGACAAACUAUCCCAGGAAAUCAGCAAUGUCAACAACAACAACAA